GCCUAACACAUGCAAGUCGAGCGCGAAAGUGACUUCGGUCACGAGUAGAGCGGCGAACGGGUGCGUAACACGUGGAUAAUCUGCCUUUAGGACUGGGAUAACUCAGGGAAACCUGAGCUAAUACCGGAUAAGACCACAGCUUCUAUGGAAACAGUGGUAAAAGGCGGCCUUCGGGCUUUCACCUAAAGAUGAGUCCGCGCACCAUCAGGUAGUUGGUGAGGUAAAGGCUCACCAAGCCUAAGACGGUUAGCCUACCUUAGCGGGUGAUCGGCCACACGGGGACUGAGACACGGCCCCGACUCCUACGGGAGGCAGCAGUGGGGAAUAUUGGACAAUGGGCGAAAGCCUGAUCCAGCAAUACCGCGUGAGGGAUGAAGGUCUUCGGGUCGUAAACCUCUGUCAGUUGGAACGAUGGGUUGCCAAGCCGAGAGGUGGAGCCAAUCCCAUCAAAGCCAAUCUCAGUUCGAAUUGCAGGCUGCAACUCGCCUGCAUGAAGUUGGAAUCGCUAGUAAUCGUGGGUCAGCAAUACCGCGGUGAAUACGUUCCCGGGCCUUGUACACACCGCCU
rnacentral:rRNA from 1 species